GACGGAACGCUGGCGGCGUGCUUAACACAUUGCAAGUCGAACGGAGUACCUAUGACAGAGGUUUCGGCCAAUUGAUUAGGUUACUUAGUGGCGGACUGGUGAGUAACGCGUGAGGAACCUGCCUUUCAGAGGGGGACGAACAGUUGGAACGACUGCUAAUACCGCAUGACGCAUGACUGGGGGCAUCCCGGACAUGCCAAAGAUUUUAUCGCUGAAAGAUGGCCUCGCGUCUCGAUUAGAUAGUUGGCGGGGUAACGGCCCACCAAGUCGACGAUCAGUAGCCGGACUGAGAGGUUGACCGG
rnacentral:rRNA from 1 species